UUACCUGCUCAUUUGAUCGGGCCGGGUUAAAAACCUUGGUGUUUCUUCUUUAGUUCUUGAGCCAAGCCCUUGAAGAAUUCGCUCAAUGGAGGAGAAACUAACGGGGACCACAGCCGCUGCGGGAGCGGAGUCACCGGCGUCGGCCGAGCCCCCGUCGUCACGGCGGCGAGCCGGAGGACUAAAGAGGAAAGCCAACGUGCUCUCAACAUCCAACUCUUCAUCGACACCGUCGAAACGCCUCACACGCGAGAAAGCCCUGAUCUCUCACCCUUCGAUCCACAAUGGAGGCCCGUUGACCAGAGCCCACCAGAGCCCCAACAAUUUGUCUUCUGCGGCUUAUGCCGCUACUGGAUGUAAGCUCGAGGAGAAGGUGGCUAUGUCGACGUCGGGGGCUGUGACGGUGGCAACACUGGAGGAGGAGGUGAAUAAGUUGGAGGAGUUGCAGGCAGCAAUAGAAGCGGAUUUUGAGGGAAUUAGAUCCAAAGAUUCUAACGCCCAUGUGGUGCCUAUUCAUUGCGGUUGGUUUUCAUGGACGAAAAUUCACCUCCUUGAGGAGCGUGCACUACCUUCAUUCUUUAAUAUGAACUCUCAAACCAGGACACCUGAUACCUACAUGGAGAUACGUAAUUGGAUUGUGAAAAAAUUUCAUGCAAAUCCAAAUGUGCAGAUUGAAUUGAAAGAUCUGUCUGAGCUUGAAGUUGCAGACCUAGAUGCAAAGCAAGAGGUGCUUGAGUUCUUGGACUAUUGGGGCUUGAUUAAUUUCCACCCAUUCCCGCAAGUAGAAUCUGCUGCAAAUGCUGAUGAUGAUAGAGAAGCAAAGGAGGAUUCAUUGCUUGAGAAGUUAUUUUGCUUUGAAAUCAUUCAACCAUGUCCACCUGUUAUUCAGAAGCCUAAUCUCUCGACUCCAGCUCUGGCACCUGGGUUGUUUCCAGAGUCUUCACUUGCAGAAGAGUUAGUGAGGCCUGAGGAGCCAGCUGUUGAGUACCACUGCAAUUCUUGUUCAGCUGAUUGCUCGCGCAAGCGCUACCAUUGUCAAAAGAAGGCAGAUUAUGAUCUAUGUGCUGAUUGCUUUAGUAAUGGGAUAUUUGGAUCAAACAUGUCUUCUUCAGAUUUUAUUCUCAUGGAGCCUGCUGAGGCUCCUGGUCUAAGUGGUGGAAAGUGGACAGAUCAGGAGACCCUACUUCUUCUUGAAGCAUUGGAACUUUAUAAAGAAAACUGGAAUGAGAUUGCAGAGCAUGUUGCCACAAAAAUUAAAGCUCAAUGUAUAUUGCACUUUGUUCAAAUGCCUAUUGAAGAUGUCUUUUUUGACUGUGACGAUGAUGUAGAUGGGAUUUCCAAAGAAACUAAAGAUCAACGUGCAACCACUGAUGAUACAUCUGUUCCUAAGGAUGGGACUGAAACAAUGAAGGAUAAAACUGGUGCUAAGGAGGAUCAUCCUCUGAAGCUGGAAGCUUCAAGAUCAGAAGAAGUGGUUGAAGUAAAAGGUUGUCAGGAAACUGCAAAGCCUAACAACACCAGUGAAGCAAUAGUUGAUGAGAAAUCUUCAAAAUCAGAAGAUACUAUUGAAGUGAAGGCUGCUCAGCAUGCCUGUGAAAAUUUGGCACUCAAAGCUCUUACAGAAGCAUUUGAAGCUGUUGGUUAUCCCUGUACUCCUGAAAAUCGACUUUCAUUUGCUGAAGUUGGAAAUCCUGUCAUGGCUUUGGCUGUGUUUUUAGCCAGACUGGUAGGAAGUGAUGUGGCUGUGGCUUCAGCUCGCAGCUCUUUGAAGUCUUUAAAUAGUGAUUCUCCAGGUAUGCAGCUGGCUACAAGGCACUGCUUUCUUUUGGAAGAUCCACCAGAUGACCAGAAGGGACCAGCGGGUCUUGAUUGCAGUGCCAUAGAAACGGCUAAUCAAGAUGCUCAAAAGUACAACCAUGAACGCCAAGCCCAGAAAGACUUGGAUGGAAGAGACUUAUCAAUUGACCACAGUGAUGAGAAAACUGAAGAUUGUACUUCAGAGGAAAAGCAACCUCCAGAUUCCUCAAAUGAUGAACCCACAGAGAAAUUAAAUGCUGCAAAUGAUGCAGUUACUGUAAAUUUUCAUGAGGAAGUUGAAAUUGGUAAAUUGAAGGAGUCUAGUGACUCAUUACAAAAGGAACCUCAGGUAAGUGCGUUAAAGGAAUUAAAUGAGAUGCAAUCCAAGUCUCCAUGUCCACCAAGUUCUAUAAAGGAGACAGAAGGGUCUUCAGUGGCUCUGAACUCUCAGCAAACAGAGGUCUCUAAGGAUGAAGAUAUGGUGUCCAAUUUGAAACCUUCUGAAAAUGAGCCUUGUCAAUCAGCUGCACCAGUGUUGGUACAAGAGCCCUCUCUAGCUGCAGAGACAUCAGAGGAUGUUGGCAUGAUCUCAGAUUCUCUGCCUGCUGAGAAGAAUGAGCAACUAGUGAAAUCAAAUUCAGUAGCAAAUAACUCUCAGCCUACAGAGGCACCAAAGGAUAUAUGCAUGUCAUCUGAACUGCCUUCAGAAGCAAAAGAGUCUCAGCAGCCAGUUGCCUCAAAUUCAGUUGUUGGAAAAGGAGCAACUGCAGCUGAGGACCACAAGGACAGUAAAAAAUGGAAGCCUAAUCGUGAAGAGAUUAAAGAGGACAACCGCUUCUAUAAAUUUAAGUGUGCUGCAGUUUCUGCUCUUUCAGCAGCAGCAGUGAAGGCAAAACUUCUUGCAAACCAGGAAGAAGACCAAAUCCGUCAACUUGCUGCAUUGUUGAUAAAAAAGCAGGUGCAUAAGCUGGAAAUGAAGUUGGCUUUCUUUAAAGAAAUGGACCUCGUGACAAUGAGGGUUAGGGAGCAACUUGACAGAUUAAGGCAAAGGCUGUACCAUGAGCGAGCACAAAUAAUUGCAGCCCGACUUGGGUUACCGGCAUCUUCAUCUAGAGGAAUGCCACCAACAUUACCCACCAACAGAAUUGCAACGAACUGUGCAAACUCAAUUCCGAGGCCCCUUAUGAGCAUGACUUCCCAAAGGCCGCCAAUUGCAAGACCCAUGGGGACAUUGUCUCCUACCCCUUCUAACCCAUUUGUAUCAACAACUGCAGCAGGAAGUUCAAUUCGGCCUUCAGGGCAGGACUAACUUUCUUCAGUUGGAACAAAGUAGUCUUUCCUCAGGAGGCAUGUGAAUAGAUUCUAUUCAUUUUUGAACUCCAAUCAGUUGCAAGCAUUUUAACAAGAGGAAAUGACCAGCAUCUUCCUUUGCAAUGCACUGUAGUGUUGGGACUGACUGCUUGCUACGAAGUAUGGAGACGGGCUGGCUUACAAUUAAUUGCAAAGGCCGUUAGUCCCAUUUUUAGCAGCAAGCACGGGGAUGAAAACUGAAAUUACGGCUUGGAAGUUUGUUUAUGAUUGUAAUUUGUAAGGUUUAGUCAAUGUGUUUUAUACAUGCUAAGAUAGUGUUAGUGUAGUCUGUAAUGGUAUGCAAGGUUAUAGGUCGCCAGUUGUAAGAAAAGGCAUAGUUAGUUAGUAUAUAUUGGGGUUUUUUAAAGAGCAUAUAUUGUAAAUUAUAGGAAGAUGCGUCCCGUCUUUUUAAAAUUUAUAUUCACAGAUUGAAGUGGCAUCUCAAGUGCAAAAACUGCAACAAAGAUCCGUUGUGAUGAUGUGCUUGUUCAUAGUGGAUUAGAAUGGAUUGGACCGUGGCUGUUAUAUUUA